AAUUAAUGAGCUUGUUAAAGCAUUUGUUUUGAAAACUUAAGAAAGAAUUAAAUUCUAUUAAUUU
rnacentral:tRNA from 2 species